AGACGCGCGAGUGAGGAGCGUCGCCACCGUCGUCGCGCCGUGCGUCGCCAGCUUCGCUGCACCUCGUCAUCACCAUCGCCGUCGGACCACCAUGGAGUCGUUGCCGUCGAACCGGCGCUGCGAGCUGCUAUCGAGCCUCAAGCAGAAUCCGAUGCGAAGAGAGAGACAUAACAACGCGAGGAGAGAGAGAAGGCGUUGUGGGAGUUUCUGCCGCCGCUGCUCUCUCCGCCAUCGCCGCUGCCGGAGUCACGAGAUGAGGUGGGGAAGGAGACCAUUUUCCCUGUUGCUGUUGCAGUCACUGCGCUACUACUGCUAUGCUUCAUUUUCCUUGUUUUCCUUAAUUACCGAUUAAGCUGCUACAACUGUGGACUGUGAUGGUUGAUGCUCUGAAAGAGUCGUCGCUGCUGGGGCGACUGGAAUUACUACUGCCAGUUCUACCGUUGCUACCAAUGCUGUUGACUUGCCCCAAUUCAAGUUCAGUGUCACUGCCCUAGAGUUGUUUCCGCGUUUGAUUCCAUCAAAUUUGAUGUUGCUGCUGUUAAUACUGCUGAUUCUAAUGCCAUUGCUGCUGUUGCUGUUAAUUUGGAAUAAGUGGGUUUGUCGCCUUUGAUUCUUGAAUUCAGCUAGUCGAGCUUUACCUUUUCAGGAACCAGAUGAAGAGGCAUUAAGAGGAGUUAUACUGGGUUUGACUUAUAUGAUGCUGUGUUAAUUAGAUUAUUUUCUUCCCUCAUCUUUGUCAUUACAAACUUGUAAGAGGGAUAGGAAUUGUAUGUUCUAUAUGUAUAUUAUUUUAUGAGGUAUUAUGUAAGGAGUC